AAAAAAUAUUAUCCAAGAAAGUGACAGAGCUCAAAUUCAGCAUUUAAUCCUUUAGGUUGUAGCGUGUCCAGCUUAUAUAUCCAUUGCAUUUCAGUAAUCCCCAACUGUUUAUUUGGAUCUCCACCUCUCCAAUUCUUAUUAACUUUACAUACCCCUUUGAAAUUCAGGAGGCUCAUAUCCGAGUUGUGUUGCUGUUUAAAGUGAGCGGAAACCGAAUGCUG